AUGCCCCCGCACUUGGACGUGUCGAUCGCCUCCAGCAUCGUCACCACCUCCGCCAUCUCCGGCCGCUUGUCGGGGUUCGCGUCCCAGCACCGCUUCAUCACGUUCGCAAAGGCGCUCGGGCAGCACCGCGGGAUCUCCGGCCUCAGCAAUCAUCACAAAAUAACUGCAGGUUUGUUGUACCUGACGAACAACAGCGGACGUGACCUCCGAGAAGCUCAGGUCCGCGUACGGCAUGUCGCAGCAGUACACCUCCCAAAGGCAGAUCCCGUAGCUGUAGACGUCGCAUUUAUGUACUAA
rnacentral:rRNA from 1 species